AUUCGAGCUUAUAUAUAACUUUGAAGUCCGAUAAAAAUUUAUGGCAUAAUGUUGCUAAUUAUUAUGUACAUGUCUUUUUGUUAUUUAGAUUAUUAAAAACUUUUCCUAAAAAAAGAAAACAUUAAUUCAUUUUUUAGAAAAUAAAAGGUAGAGAAAAUAGACUAAUUAAUAAAGAAUAAUUUCCAACUACCACAGGAGGCCACAUUAAUCCGGCGAUGACGUUGGGGCGGUUUGUGGCGAGGAAGUUAUCGCUGGUAAGAGCAGUGGCCUACAUAGUGUCACAAUCCCUGGAAGCUAUUUCUGGCGCAGGCUCAGUGAAGGCAGUGAUGAAGGAUUACUACAAUUCUUUUGGGGGUGCUGCCAACUCUGUUGCUUCUGGUUACUCAAAAGCCCCUGCCCUGGGAGCUGAGAUCAUCGGCACUUUCGAUCUUGUCUACGCCGUAUUCCACCUACCCUAAUCGAAAAGCCCGCGACUCCUUCGUUCCUGCCAGUAAACUAUAAUAAACUAAAUUAAGCUGAUUUCAUUCUGGAUAUCCAUUUGAAUAAUAAUAAUAAUAAUAA
rnacentral:misc_RNA from 1 species